rnacentral:rRNA from 1 species
GACGAACGCUGGCGGCGUGCUUAACACAUGCAAGUCGAACGAUGAAGCUGGAGCUUGCUCCGGUGGAUUAGUGGCGAACGGGUGAGUAACACGUGAGUAACCUGCCCUUGACUCUGGGAUAACUGCGGGAAACUGUAGCUAAUAACGGAUACGACCCUUGGAGGCAUCUCCUGGGGGUGGAAAGAAUUUCGGUCAAGGAUGGACUCGCGGCCUAUCAGCUAGUUGGUGAGGUAAAGGCUCACCAAGGCGGCGACGGGUAGCCGGCCUGAGAGGGUGACCGGCCACACUGGGACUGAGACACGGCCCAGACUCCUACGGGAGGCAGCAGUGGGGAAUAUUGCACAAUGGGCGCAAGCCUGAUGCAGCAACGCCGCGUGAGGGAUGACGGCCUUCGGGUUGUAAACCUCUUUUAGCAGGGAAGAAGCGAAAGUGACGGUACCUGCAGAAAAAGCACCGGCUAACUACGUGCCAGCAGCCGCAGUAA